CUAAGUGGGUGGUAAAUUCCAUCUAAGGCUAAAUAUUGGCGAGAGACCGAUAGCGAACAAGUACAGUGAUGGAAAGAUGAAAAGAACUUUGAAAAGAGAGUGAAAAAGUACGUGAAAUUGUUGAAAGGGAAGGGCUUGAAAUCAGACUUGGUAUUCAGUGAUCAACUGUCUUUCGGGACUGUGCACUCGCUGUUUACUGGGCCAACAUCGGUUUGGAGGGUGAGAUAAAAGCUUGAGAAUGUGGCUAGCCUUCGGGGUAGUGUUAUAGCUCUUGUUAAUAUCACCAUUCUGGACCGAGGACU
rnacentral:rRNA from 1 species